AGGACUAACGCUGGCGGCGUGCCUAACACAUGCAAGUCGAGCGGGGUAGCAAUACCCAGCGGCAGACGGGUGAGUAACACGUGGUCAACCUUCCCGACAGUGGGGGAUAACUAGCCGAAAGGUUAGCUAAUACCGCAUACGAUCUAUGAGGGGCAUCCCUUAUAGAUGAAAGGAGCAAUCCGCUUUCGGACGGGACCGCGUCCCAUUAGCUAGAUGGUGGGGUAAUGGCCUACCAUGGCGACGAUGGGUAGCUGGUUUGAGAGAGCGACCAGCCACACUGGGACUGAGAAACGGCCCAGACUCCUACGGGAGGCAGCAGUGAGGAAUUUUCCGCAAUGGGCGAAAGCCUGACGGAGCGACGCCGCGUGUGGGAAGAAGGCCUUCGGUCGUAACCACUGUCGAAGGGGACGAUAAUGACGGUACCCUUGGAGGAAGCCCCGGCUAACUACGUGCCAGCAGCCGC
rnacentral:rRNA from 1 species